AAAUAAAAUAUAAUUUCCUUUUUCUCCCUCAGGUUGCACAUAGGCAAAGGUGUACAAUUGGAAUGUAAAGGUGAAGGUGAUGUUUGGGUCAGGUGCCUCAGUGACCAUGCAGUCUUUGUACAGAGUUACUACUUAGACAGAGAAGCUGGGCGUGCACCUGGAGAUGCUGUUCAUAAGAUUUACCCAAGUGCGUAUAUAAAGGUCUUUGAUUUACGGCAGUGUCAUCGUCAGAUGCAGCAGCAGGCGGCCACUGCACAAGCUGCAGCAGCUGCCCAGGCAGCGGCCGUGGCAGGAAACAUCCCUGGCCCGGGAUCAGUAGGUGGCAUAGCUCCAGCUAUCAGUUUGUCAGCUGCUGCUGGGAUCGGGGUUGAUGACCUUCGUCGCUUAUGCAUCCUCAGGAUGAGCUUUGUGAAAGGCUGGGGACCGGAUUACCCAAGACAGAGCAUCAAGGAGACCCCUUGCUGGAUUGAGAUUCACUUACACCGGGCCCUUCAGCUCCUAGAUGAAGUACUUCACACCAUGCCUAUUGCCGACCCACAACCUUUAGACUGAAAUCUUUACUGUCGGAGCCCUUAACAUUCAUUGUCAGGAUGGUGGACUGUAACAUACAAUCCUGUUUAUAAUCUGAAGAUAUAUAUCACUUUCGUUCUGCUUUAUCUUUUCAUAAAGGGUUGAACACAUGUUUUGCUGCCUUGCUCCUAGCAGACAGAAACUGGAUUAAAACUCCCCCCACCCCUCCCAUUUAGAACUUUUCAGGCAUGGCUCAGAACUUGAAGGUCAGGAAAAACACAUUCUUAUUAAAUUUACUGCACCAGUUAUGUAUGAAGGAAUCAUUCCAAUCCUGGAAAAUUUAGCCCUUUAAAAUGUCUUAGACCUUUUUCUAUGCAGAACAUUGGUAUAUGUGCUAUUCUAAAGAGUAAACUCAAUAUUGCUAAUUUUAAAGGCAGAGACGUUCUCAAAGUUAAUUCACCUAUGUUAUUUUGUAUGCACGUUGUUAUUGUUGAGCAGACUUUACUCCAAAAUAUUGUGCCAUGUGGGUGAGUUAAUGUUACCAAGAGCAACUUUACUCUGUGUUUAAAAAAUAAGACAGUAAUGUAUUAUAAUCUUUUAUCCAAAAUAUAUUUUCUGCAAGUUAAACUAGUGAAGAUGAUUUCAAUUCAGAUUGUCUUGCGACUUCAUUUUCUUUUCACCAAGGCAAAACACUAAUCUCUGUGAAUACUGAGAAUUCCUUAAAAUUAUCAGACAAAGAAAUACCAUUUACAAGUUCAGUAGUUAUCCCAGUUGGAUAACGAUUUCUCGAGUAGUAUAACAUUUCCCUGUUAAGCAGUAGAUGUAGUCUAUAUUUCCAGGCACAGGGCUGGUUACCAAGAAGCCUAGAAGAGCCAUUUCUUUCCUUCAUUAAUUCAUAGGGAAAGGUUUUGUAUUUUUAAAAACACUAAAAGCAGUGUCACUCCUCCAGCUCCCCAUUCUGCAAAGGUGGCAGUGCUUAGAGUAAAUGAUGCGCAUUUUGGAAACUGCUAAGUUCUAUGUCAGAUUCUGUGCGGACUAAUGGAAACGUUACAGCUCAUAAUAGGCAGUUUGGAUAUUUUUGUACUUGAUUUGAUGUGACUUCUUUUUCAUAUACUCUUUAAAUCAUGUAUGUUAUGACAUUGUUUAAAAUUCAGUUUUUGUAUCUUGGGGCAAGACUGCAGACUUUUUAUACCUUUUGGUUUUUCUAAGCCCUUUGCCAUCAAUGAUCAUAUCAAUUGGCGGUGACUUUGUAUAGAGAUUUUAAGUAGAAAAGUUGCAAAUGUAUUGACUGUACCACAGACACAACAUGUAUGCUUUUUACUUAGCUAGUAGCAUAAAUAAAACCGAAUCUCAACAUACAAAGUUGAAUUCUAGGUUUGAUUUUUAAGUUUUUCCUUUUGCACUUUUGAGUCCCACCUCAGUGGCGAGACACCUUCUAGGAAAUGGCAGGCGGCAGCCAGUACUGCAGCUUUGGUUUCCCUCGCUCUACCGGGACUUCCCCGGAGACAUGAGGUAGCAAGCGUAGAGUUGGUAUUUUGAAGUUUUAUUUUCUGUAGCAAAAGUAGGCCUUGUUGUCUCCAAGAUAAAGAGGUUGUCUACAGAAUACAUAGUGUGGCAUAAAAUCAAGGAUUGUCUUUCAGACGCUUUUACCGUCUGCUUGGAGGGCCUUUCUAAGCAUAAUAAGAUUCUAAGGUGUGUUCCAAGCUUGAGAAACCCUUAUUAUGCAUGCUGUUAUCCUUAUAUUGGCUUAGAUGAACAAGUCUUCAGCUUCCUUGCUCAGAAGGUGUUCUUACGACCACUCUAGAAACCAAUGGAUUAGCUUAUUGCUGUGAUUCAAAUAGAGAUUUUGAUCCGAGCUACAUGGCUUUUGUUUUCAAAGUGUUUCUCUACCAACAUACUUGUACUCUUGAGUACUAACAACUCCUUUUGUUAAAGACCCCAUUACAACCUGUGAAAGUUUGAUGAUUUAAGUAUUAUUGGCAGAUUUUUAAAAAGGUAUCAUUGUUUCAUAGAAAUUAUUUAUCCCAUUUUACUGUGAAUGAGGAGUAGGAGGAGUGAGAGGAGUUUUAGAAUGGCAUAUUUUAAAAAAUCCAGAUUAUUUGACUAGAGCCAUAAGCAUGCUAUGAUAUAAUCUAUUGCCUCCUUUUCUAUUUUAAGGAAGGUUUUCAUGUUUAAUGAAACAUGAAAUCUGGGUAAUCAUUUGUGGAAAAUAUUUGCAAGGAAGUUUGUCUUCAGGCCUAGCCACCUGUCUUGGUUGCUUUCUGCUAAGAGCCAUACAAGUACAUAAAAGUAUUUGCAGUUAUUAAUUGCUUUAUAUUUGUACCCAGAUGCAAUCACAUGCUUUUGAGAAAACAUCUAGUAUGUUAUGAUCAGUUAUUCCCGAGAGCUUAGUUGUUAAAUGGUAUUUCCAUUUCUUAAAUGUAGUCAUCUUUAAUGAGUAAGAUAAAGGAAUCACUACGUUUACAAUUUAGGGGUACAAUAGUUUCUGCAGUUCUAAGAAUCUGAUUAUUAUAAGGAUAUGAUUCUGAAUGAGUGUUCUCAGCUAUUUCAUAUGUCAAAGACUUUCAAAAUGUUGAAUUUCAGUGAAGGCUGAGUGAGAGGUGAACCAAGUACAUACCUUUAUCAUCCAGUGUGAGGCCCGUUCCACAUUGGUCAGUGCCUUUCAUACUCAAAGGGAAUCCUUUAUGGUGUUGCCUUUAUUUUCCAGGGAGUAGAUUCUUUUGUGAGAUAUAGUCUGUCUCCUUUGUAAAAUAUGCUACGCCUGGUAUACAAAGAUAAUGACAAGAAAUCACUGCCAUAUAACCUUGUUUUUCCAGAAGCAUGGCUCCUUUUUAUUGACCUAACCACUAAAUAGGUCGCCCAUUCCAUUCCUCCUGGAAACAUUGUAGGUUUACAGGUUGGGUGGUCUGGCUUAAGGACAACCAUACUUGAAACAUCAGAGUAAACUGAAUACCUAGUAGCUUUUAAAAUCCAUUUUUUGUGGGGAAGGGUGUGGCAUAAAGGGAGGUAUUUGUAGUAGAAAUUUUGAAGACAAAAUAUAAUGUCCUGUCUUGCAGAUGAUAAAUGUCUUAUUUUAAAAGUAUAUUGCAGUUAUCUUCUUUAUUGUGCCCAUCUGGAGAAGGGAAGUUGUACAUUUUCCCAAGCUGUUCCUUCACUAUCUGUGGAGGUUAAAGAAUAGAAGGUGAAAUAUUUCUGUUCCUGGUUUGGUGGUGACUGGUUAAUAGUUGUUACUCAUUAGCUAUUAUGCAAAAUCAGGUUAGUUUACAUCUGUUUUGAGAAUCUUUUGGAAGAAGCAAUUUUAUUCUGAGUAGGGCAGAAUCCUUUUUGUUCAUAGUUUUUAUAGUUUGCUCCCUUUAUCAUUGAGUCACUUACUGGCAUUUUAUUUAAGGACAGCAAGUUGGGAAAAGGGUAAAUUUAGGUCACGGAGGUGAAUGAGCAUCUGAAAGCAAUUGCCUGUAAAGUCAGUUAACAACUCUUUUGUAGAUGGGGCUUGACAAAGACUAGCAGAUAAUAGAAUGAAGAAAUGCAUUCUUUUUCCUUCUAGAGGCAGAACGCAUCAUCUUGCAGGUGGCUCACUGUAAAUAAUCGCCCAAAUCCUCCUUUGCAAGAUUAUAGAAAUAGGCUAGGAGUAUCUUUUGUGCAAGCCUUUCCCCCCCUUUUUUUUCUUUUCUUCUGACAGCUAGGUAAUUUCUCUUCAGAUAUGUCAGGAAGGAUGUAAAAAGUUAGUGGCCUUAUUCAGAGCAGCAUCCUCGAGCCCAGCCUUGUCCCCAGCACUUGUCCCAGUGUUACUAGGUGGUUUAUCUUGUACGGUUGUGAAAUGGAGUUUUUUGCAUAAUCCAGACUUGCCUUAUUUAAGCAGUAAAACGUUUUUAUUUCAGCCAUUUCUUUGAUGGAGUUAUUUAAUAUGGAUGUCAGAGAACAUACUGGAUAUAUUUCUUUUUGUGCCUAGCUCUCUUCCUCAACUUCACGGGGGCGUAGACAGGGCUGUUUGCCUUUACUAAGUGGUUGCAGACUUGCUGUGGUUUUGAAUGUUUCGUUUUUACCCCUCCCCCUCUCCCCCAUCUUCUCCCUCUCUGACAGUGACACUUGCUGUGCAUUGUUAGUGUACCUCCCCUUAGUACCGCUUCUUCUCUUUCUGAUUCAUUUUUUUCCCCAGCUGCUUGGGCAAGGAAGCCAGAUAACCACACUUAUUAACACUUUCUUUGACUACAAGGGCAAACUGGGACAGGACCCAAGAAACUUCCUGUACACGAUUGAAAGGCCUUCAGUGCUUUGGCGUUUGACUGCUUCGAGUGCUUCUUGAUUCUUGCUCAGUUUCAGGUUGUUGAGGCAGAGAGAAGUGAGUCAUAUUCCUAUUUUCCCCCUUUGCAAGAUUUUUAAAAGGUUUCAUUGCUUCCACUUGAAUGCUGCUCACAUAAAAAUUGGGGUUACAGGGUUACGAAAUUAGGUAUCAAUAGCCAGAGGCAAUACCCUUGCCUAGAGGACACCAACAAAACAAAACAAAACAAAACAAAAAACAAAACAAAACAAAACAAAACACACAAAAAACAAAGCUUGGAAAAUGAGAGGAUCAUUUUUGUUUUGUUUUGGUGUCUCCUUUUGAGCCCUAUGCUCUGGCCUUCCUCCUCCACAGAUAUUUUUGACCUAUAGGUGCCUUUAUGAGAUUUGAGGGUUUGAUAUCCUGCCCCAAGGAGUAGCUAAAGUAAUUGCUGAUGUUUUCAGGGAUUUUACCAUCAGACUUGAGUGAAUGAAUGAACCUCUUUUUUUUCUUUUUUUAACUAGGAAGGACUGAGGAGAUAAGUCUAGUGAAGACAAUCAUUUCUCUUAUGGAUGUGGAUAGUUUUCAGUUUAAGAUGCUUCCUCGGUAGGUCUCUGAGCCAGUGCUCUUGUUCAGCCUGAGACGAAUGACUCCUGGCUCUCCAGCUGUGCUCUGCCACCAAUUUGAUGUAUGACCUUGGGCAAGUCAUUUACCUUCUUUGGGCCUCAGUUGCCUCAUCUGUAAAAUGAGGGAGUUGGACUAGAUGCUUUCUUCCAGCUCUGAAGUGUCAGUGGCCUUGCCUACCUUGCAGCAGUGUUCGAUUUCUUCCUCCCCUUUGCUCUGCUGUUUGAGGGGCUUUUUUACUUAUUUCUACAUUAUUUGAAUGAGACUAGGCUUGCGAUUUUAUUACUAUUCUCCUAUGGACAAAAAGUUACAUAAUACGUCCCUAAGACUUAAAUUCAACCAAAGGCCUAGCACUACCUUGGGGGCUGCCAUAAAUACUUAAAAAAAAAAAAUAGAGAGGGGGAAAAGCCUUCAUUUUAUUUUCCCAUCAUCUCUGUUGAAGGCUUAGUAAGGCUUUUUUUGAGUCAUGACAUUCUAACUUUUGGGGUUGGUAUGUGUGUGACAGCAUCCCCUUAAGGGCUGUGCUGGUAAUUUUUUUUGUUUAACUGAAAUGGAUUGAAAACUUACUGUAAAUGCCUAAUGAUAGUAGAGGUCAUUACUUUGGGUCUUUGGUUUUUUUUAACUCUUCUAUGCUUAGAACAGGGACAUGCCUUUGAACUGCAUCAAUUAAAAUGGUUUGUACAACUCAAUGAAACAUAGUGGAUGAUUAUUCACUUUAUUCUUGGCUCUUUUUAGUCCAUUUUGAUUAGAAGACUUUUGGCUGGAGCAUUUCUUUCAGAGUUCUCUUCCAGCCCAUCGUGGAUGAGUGUAACUAAUGAACUGGGCUUUUACAAGGACCUGAGAGCCUUCAUUAGGGCUGGGUCAGGGGUGGGGGUUGGGGAGUCCUGGUAGAGGCCAGCUCUGUGGUAGCUGGAUGGAACCAGCUGCUGUUGCUAUGACUGCUAGUCACUGACAGAAGGACUCAUGGGUUUGAAUUGGUUAAAAGGCUAAACAUGGAGUCGGCAGGUGUUGGGUUCUGGCCAAUGCCUCAGACAUGUGAUUUAAGGGAAAAGUGUGAAUGCUUGUUGAUGAAAACUUGGUGGGCUGCAGAACCAUUUGGAGGAAGCAGCUGGGGGUGGGAACAGAUUUGGUCGUGGUUUUCCCAGCUCUGCCUCCUCCCCUGAACUCAGAGGAGAGCAGCUACGCUAAAGCUCAGAGAGGAGCCACGCUGAGCUGCUGCUUUGGGGAAACCGGCCAGCUGAAGUGCCCGGCGUUCUCUGUGGCUUUCUGUAUACUUUUUCCCUGGGUGAAGUCUGUGGCUAACAAAUAGUUGAACCUUUCCUGAGAACUCUGUAACAAAGUAUGUUUUUGAUUAAAAGAGAAAGCCAAUUAAA